rnacentral:lncRNA from 1 species
AGACGAGCUCUUGAGAGGUUGGUUUGAGUCAUGUGCAAGAUUUGUUCUUCAUACAGUCACAACAAAAGGAAGAUAUAAAUAAUUCGUACUCCCACCAUGUUGUUUCCUUCUUUCAUCCUCAGGCCCUAUAAGUGUACAUCUGGGUCAUGCUCUAUGAAGAGACUGUUGUUAUCAAUGAGUUCGAUGCAUAUAUUUGUUAGCACUGACAGAUUCAGACACAGAUAUUUUCCACCUCCAAUGUUCAGAUCUGGUGUAGCUGCUGGGAGCCCUGGGCUGGAUAUGUACCCAGGUGACUCAUGGGGAAGGAUGCACCCUUCUGAGAAGCAUCACCUUUCUCAAGAAGCAUGACAGAGCUCCCGAUAUUAGACUUUCAAGACGUCUACCAGGCCUUCUUUGGAAUAAAUUGUGUCAUUGAAUGGCCACCUGCAUCCCACACAACAGCUUUAAAGGAGAAAACCCCAUGGAGAAAGAACUGAGACUGAGAGGAGUUCCAAACUAAAAAUAAACCACAGAUCUCAGCAAGGCUCUAUACCCUGGCUGUUGCCCUUGUCACUGACUUUUCCUUAUUGAAAGCUACUCAGAGACCUGAGGAAAGCUUUGUGCUAAUACCGAUAUGAUUGCUGUCAUCGCCACUACCUGGGCGCAUCCUUUGAUACACCUGACCGGUACUCCUCAGAACUGUCAAGGUCAUCAAAAACAAGAUAACAUCACUAUUGUAAAACCUCAGAUUGGUGCUCAAGAUAGUUUUCAGACCCUGCACUUGAUGGAUCAGCUGGCACUACUCAGAUCAACACACUGGCUCACCUGGUCUUGUGGCCCCCACCCAGGAAAUGACUCAGCACAAGAGGACAGCUUUGACUCCCUGUGAUUUCAUCUCAGACCCAACCAGUCAGCUCUCCCUACUACUUGGCCCCCUACCCACCAAAUUAUCCUUAAAAAACCCCAGCCUCUAAAUUUUGGGGGUGACUGUUUUGAGUAAUAAUAAAACUCUGGUAUCCCA